rnacentral:tRNA from 1 species
GGUCCUGUAGUGUAGUGGUUAUCACGUUUGCUUUACACGCAAAAGGUCUCUGGUUCAAAACCAGACAGAAACA